rnacentral:rRNA from 1 species
AUUGAACGCUGGCGGCAGGCUUAACACAUGCAAGUCGAGCGGGGGAAGGUAGCUUGCUACCGGACCUAGCGGCGGACGGGUGAGUAAUGCUUAGGAAUCUGCCUAUUAGUGGGGGACAACAUCUCGAAAGGGAUGCUAAUACCGCAUACGUCCUACGGGAGAAAGCAGGGGAUCUUCGGACCUUGCGCUAAUAGAUGAGCCUAAGUCGGAUUAGCUAGUUGGUGGGGUAAAGGCCUACCAAGGCGACGAUCUGUAGCGGGUCUGAGAGGAUGAUCCGCCACACUGGGUCUGAGACACGGCCCAGACUUCUACGGGAGGCAGCAGUGGGGAAUAUUGGACAAUGGGGGGAACCCUGAUCCAGCCAUGCCGCGUGUGUGAAGAAGGCCUUAUGGUUGUAAAGCACUUUAAGCGAGGAGGAGGCUACUUUGGUUAAUACCUAGAGAUAGUGGACGUUACUCGCAGAAUAAGCACCGGCUAACUCUGUGCCAGCCGCCGCCGUAA